rnacentral:misc_RNA from 1 species
AAGUCGUAACAAGGUUUCCGUAGGUGAACCUGCGGAAGGAUCAUUAAAUGAAAAAGCUGGUUUACCAGUAUACGGCCCCCGGAGUUUGUUUCUGACAAGCGCCGGGAUCAGUCGUCAUUUAUACCCAUGUUUUUUGCGUACUACUUGUUUCCUUGGUAGGCUUGCCUACCAUUAGGACCACACAAAACCUUUUGUAAUUGCAGUCAGCGUCAGAAAUAACUUAAUAGUUACAACUUUCAACAACGGAUCUCUUGGUUCUG